rnacentral:RNase_MRP_RNA from 1 species
CUUUGGGAAAUUCCCCGGACGCAAAUGCCGAGAGGCAGGUUCGGAAACGAACUCCGAUGGGCGCGCCGCUCCUGCAACGACUGCCUCGUGCAAGAGCUUUUGGAGUCGGCCACUUGUCGUCGUCAGAGCAAAGUUAUGCCAUCAACUCAACGGGGAUUACUCUCGC